rnacentral:rRNA from 1 species
UACGUAGGGGGCUAGCGUUGUCCGGAAUCAUUGGGCGUAAAGCGCGUGUAGGCGGCCCGAUAAGUCCGCUGUGAAAGUCCAGGGCUCAACCCUGGGAUGCCGGUGGAUACUGUCGGGCUCGAGUCCGGAAGAGGCGAGUGGAAUUCCUGGUGUAGCGGUGAAAUGCGCAGAUAUCAGGAGGAACACCAAUGGCGAAGGCAGCUCGCUGGGACGUGACUGACGCUGAGACGCGAAAGCGUGGGUAGCAAACAGG